rnacentral:rRNA from 1 species
AUUGAACGCUGGCGGCAAGCCUAACACAUGCAAGUCGAACGAGUGGCGGACGGGUGAUUAAUAUCUGGGAAACUGCCUGAGGGAGGGGGAUACCUACUGGAAACGGUAGCUAAUACCGCCUACCAUCGGAUUUGCCCAGAUUGGAUUAGCUAGUAGGUGUGGUAAAGGCUCACCUAGGCGACGAUCCCUAGCUGGUCUGAGAGGAUGACCCGCCACACGGGAACUGAGACACGGUCCAGCAUCCGACGGGAGGAAGCAGUUGGUAAUAUUCCACAAUGGUCGCAAGCCUGAUGCAGCCAUGCCGCGUGUAUGAAGAAGGCCUUCUGGUUGUAAAGUACUUUCAGCGGGGAGGCGUUACCCGCAGAAGAAGCACCGGCUAACUCCGUGCCAGCAGCCGCGGUAAUAC